AGUAUGGAUUUGAGAUUGGAAUUGGAAUCCCUGUUAUUAAAACUUACACAAGACGACGUUAGCGACAGCCAGCGAAAUAACUUGAUUGGCUCAUCUCAACAAGAAAUCAAUAUAGUUCUGAAAAAACUCUUGCAUCAUCUGGAGAAUCAACACGAUGUGGAGAAAUCUUUAACUGAACUUCCUGAUAUUGGACAGGUUUUAGGAAGAUUAUGUGGGAAUCGUGCUGUACAAGGAAAUAAGUUGUUGUACCAUUCCACAAUGAUGUGUGUCUUGUCACUGUAUCGGGUAGAGCCAUUGUCCCAACUGGAACAGAAAGCUAAGGAUUGGGCACUGGCACAGUUACAAAACACUCUGAAGAAAAAGCCAAAAGAUACCUAUCAUACCUGUGGUGUGGGGAUCUCCCAUACAAAAAUUAUGCAGCGUCACAUUUCCAAGUUGUCAGCAAAAGUGUUUCCAGCCCUGAAAGAAUGUAUUGGUGAUGUUCGUGUGAGAUGUGUAGGAUCAGGAACCCACAUACCUGGUGAGGUAUACACAGAGGUCAGAGCCACUAUACAGCAGAUUGUUGGUGUACUUCUAUCGGUUCCACAGUCGGAUGAGUACCAGGAUGUGUGGACAGAUAUCCUAUGGAUCCUUUCUGUCCAUGGACUCGAAGAACCUUGGGUGCAGGACAUUUACCAGAAAAUAACUUUACAUCAGAACUCGAGUCAUAUGCAAGGUAGAAGUGGUGGUUUUUCAUUGAGUAAAUCAGGAUGGAGACUACUUUGGCAGAGUUAUCUCCCCUCUUUAGAGGUAGCAGUUCUUCACCAUAUAGACCAGGCCUGCAGAGUAAGAUUGCCUUCUUCAGUAAAAUGCAUACUGAAGAAGCAAUGUUUUGUUGAGAUUUGCGCUGAAGAUCCUGUGUUGUUGACGGUUGUCAGUCAGAUGUUACAAGAGCUGAUCAGGCAUGCAGGAUAUAACAGUGAGCUCAUCUGGGUAACAGCAGUCUUUUACCAGCUACUUCAAGAACAUUACUCUCUGGCUGGAAGUCAUGAUGUUACUUUACUACAGUUGUAUCCAGAACAUCAGAAUGUUGUCUCAGCAGCACUUUCAAUGUUCCAACCAUGUACGGAUGUGGAUGUUUCUGCCGACAAAGUCUGUAAAAUUGUAGCGUCCUUAGAAGACCAACAACAGAACAUCGGGCGCCAGGUCAUCUCUCACAACAGCAUGUUGUACCAUAGACACUGGUAUCUGAACACCAUCAGAAUCUGUCUUUGCUGCCACAAGAAGUUUCUUGAUGGAUGCUCUUCUUUGCUGUGUUGGAUAUUGGAACCAAAAAAUAUAGAAACUCAAAGGGAAAUAAAAAUAAUAUUACACAACUGUAUCCAGGCUCUGAGAUCUCUGAUGACUAAAGUCAGUCUUGAAGUUACAGAUGUAUUAUAUGUGAUACAGACAGAACACAGUCUAUCUAAUGUAGCAAAGUCAGCAAUCAGUCAUCUAGUUAUGAUGUUUCUCUACAAGGCCAGUGCUGGGAUGAACAUCUUCAAGGAUGUUCUCCCAAAGGUGUCUUUGGCAAAAACUCCACUGGAUGUCCUGGUGUACAUAUUAACAGCACACGAGGAGCUGGAUUUGAGGUUUACAGACUGGUCACUGUGUCGACUGAAAGAUUAUUGUGGUAUAAUACAGGAAUUCUUACACCAGGCAUCUUGUGAUAAUCUCGACACUAUUCCUAAAGAAAUCUUCAUGGCCACAAACAGUUUUCUUCAAAAAUACAACACAUAGUUAUAAAAUCAUUUCAAAUUUUCAUUCAAACUGAAUGAUGUUCAUGCAAAACUUGGAUCUAUGAGAACUGUUAAAGACGUUGUACUAAAAAGAGUAAGCCCAACACGACAGUUACUCCUUAGCUCCAAAUUUUAAUGCCGAGAGUCGUUGAUAUGUUUCGACUUGGGUGAUCAGUCGUCAUCAGACAGAGCACAGAUGCGAAUGUGAACAGAAAUGCAUCUGAAUCAGACCUUCAUCAUACUUGGAUAUUACAGCUACCUGACAGUCAGACAUGAUGCAUUUAUCAAGAAGCGUAGACCAGGCACCAAUUGUAUCACCAUGGCAGAUCAAGGCACAUAAAUCUGACUUGUACUCCAGGAUCAGUCCCAGUGAAAAUAAAAGACUUCGAUUUGGUGAUGUACUGCAUAUCAUUGAAAUCGUGCCACAUACAUAUACCACUUACAAAUUGGUUGGUAUUCCAGAGGACAUCAAUGAAAUUUCAGUACACGUUUUGAAAGAAAGUGGACAAGAUUUGAGGAGAAAAGAUGACAUUGGCCAUGCAGUAUUGGUAACAACAAAAAAAACUGCAGAGCAAGAAUACUUUGUUGAAUUGUUUGACAGUACAAAUAAACCUAUUUCAGACUCUGUCAGAAGACAGUUAGUUGAUAUGUUACCUUCUGGAAGCCAUGUCACUGUGCACCAUGUUCCAGUACAGAACCAGGGACAAACCAAUGACACUGACUGUGGGUAUUUUGUACUGGCAUUUAUAACUCAUAUAUGCCUGGGCUUGAGAGAGGAACUAGAUACAAUUGUGUUUGAUGUCAGUCAAAUGCGAAGACAUCUUACAGAAUGUUGUAGGAAUGAUUCUUUGAUUGAAUUCCCAUCAGUAUGGGAGAAAAACAACCAGAAACUUAGAGAGACUGGAAGGAAAUCAAUCAAUGAUUACUCUUGGUAGAGGAAUGUCUGUGAUCUAAAACUUGGAAGAUAGGAAGUUGACAGUGGACAGACCACAGAUUAUUUCAAUGGGCAAGUGAGCUCAGGCUACAUAUUUUGCAUAAAUAGCACUUUUUCCAAUUUUCAUAUUAGAUAUUUAAUAUACACAAAACAUAGACAACACUAAACAUAGCUUUCAUUCUUCAUACACACUCAUUCAUUCAUAUCUAUCACCUUCUUUCAACAUGCCUUCAAACAAAUUACAAUCAUCAACACUUAUCGCCAUCCUCAAAAUAAUCAUGAUCAUCAUCAAAAUAAUUCUAAUCAUCAUCAUCAUCAUCAUCCUCAUCAUCAAUAGUCAUCAUCGUCAUCAUCAUAGUCAUCCUCAUCAUCACAAUCAUUGUCAUCAUCACAAUCAUCAUCGUCAUCAUCAUCAUCAUCAUCGUCAUCAUCACAAUAAUUGGUGACUUGACCCCAAGGGGCGGGGGGACCAAAGGGCACUUUUUUUUUUUUUUUUUUUUCUAAAUUCUUCUUCUAUAAGAAUGAAAGAAAUUGGUUUGAAGCCUCCUUUGGUGAAGGGGAACCAAUUUUUGCCUGCCCCAAAGCACCUGAAAGUGGGGCCCAAUAGAGGAAAUACAGUGCAACUUCUGAAAACUGGGCCAGUCAACCGUGAAACAACACACGGGACCUGUGAUUUGUACGGGUAUCCAAUAUAUACCCCAAGGGAGCAUUAUGACGGUAAGCCUAGUGUAUAAUCAACACAACAAUUAUGAAACAAUGCCACACUUCAUUGAAGCACGGUGGUUUGUUAUGUCAUUGUUUAUCUUCUCAAUGCAAGUAGAGCUAGAAGCCUGAGUUUUGCAUCUAAUUUAAAUGUGGUCCAAAGGGGGUUGUUUUUGCAUGGUCGUAAAUGAAGCCUGUGUCCGAUGUUUUUUAAGACAAUACCGAUGUUAAAAAUAUGACCAGUACCAACUGAUAAAUAAACAAUUAAAUAUUAAUAUUUAAUUGCAUUUAUGUUAAGUGCUUGUGAUUGUUGUAUAUUAUGUAUAUUAACCUUAUAUGGUAAUUUGACAUCACAUGACCAGAGCAGAGACGUCACUUUAGCGUCAGCCAGAAAAGGGAGUCAAAGGCCAAAGGUAAAUGUGUUUUAUUUGCAUUCCCACCUCCUACCCCAUCACCGCUAUGGUUGUUUGGCCUUUGCAUUCUCUUUUCUUACAGUUGACAAUUUACUUUUAGAAAUCCUGUAAGACGUGUUCAUUUUAUUUACUUGUUGAGAAAUCUUUGUAAGAUUUCAAUCAUUGAUUCUUUUUUACUGUUGCGAAAUCUUUGUAGAUUUCAUUCAUGUAUAUAUUGUAGAAUUAUGAGGAUAUCUGUUUCAUUUGGUUAGGCAAUCUUGGUAGGAUUUUGUUCAUUGUAAGAUUGUUUUUCAAACUUAUGUUUAAUUUUAAUGUUUUUCUAUAUUGCAUUUACUGCUUUAUUCAAUUUAGUAUGUACAUGUCCAUACACACCUCAAGUGGUAUUCGGUUAUAAUUGAGUGAGUAAACACUUACCAGCUGGCCUAGAGCACGGAUAAAUCCUACCUCCCUCUUCCCUAGAAAGGGGAGAGGUUGGGGCAGCCCGCUCGCAGCACACUUGAGGUGUUACAUGUUAAGUUUUGUACAAUUUUUAGGUUUGGGCUGAUUUUCCCCCUC